AAUCAACGCUGGCGGCGUGCCUAACACAUGCAAGUCGAACGCGAAAGCCCCGCAAGGGGUAAGUAGAGUGGCAAACGGGUGAGUAACACGUGGGUGACCUGCCUUCGAGUGGGGGAUAACGUCCCGAAAGGGACGCUAAUACCGCAUGACAUCCUGCCUUUGGAAAGGCGGAGAUCAAAGCUGGGGAUCGCAAGACCUGGCGCUUGAAGAGGGGCCCGCGCCUGAUUAGCUAGUUGGUAGGGUAACGGCCUACCAAGGCAACGAUCAGUAUCCGGCCUGAGAGGGCGGACGGACACACUGGGACUGAGACACGGCCCAGACUCCUACGGGAGGCAGCAGUGGGGAAUUGUUCGCAAUGGGCGCAAGCCUGACGACGCAACGCCGCGUGGAGGACGAAGAUCUUCGGGUCGUAAACUCCUGUCGAGCGGGAAGAACAGAUUGCGGGUGAACAGCCCGUAGUCCUGACGGUACCGUUAAAGGAAACCCCGGCUAACUCCGUG
rnacentral:rRNA from 1 species